UCCUUUGAUACUUAGAGAGGGCAGGUUUUUAGAGAUUACAAAUUGGAGAGUAAAAACAUAGACUGAAUUUUGGUAACUGAAAUAUAGAAUGAAUUUUUGAGAAGAAAUUCAGAACUUAAGAGAGAGAGUUUUAGUCAGUCAGUUAGUUGAAUUAACACCGCUCAUUUGAAAAAUACCAAAAUACUGGUACAUCGAAUAAUGGAGAGUUUUUCCAUGAACGGUUUGUUUUCAAAGUUGAAUUUGGGGCAUUUGAAUUGAAUUGUGGUCUGCUGAGUUGCUGAAGUUGUUUUCAAAGCUGUUGGGUUUCAUUUCUGGGAUAUUUGGUAUUGCUAUAGAUCAAUCUCUACCUCUGUUUGGUCCUGGGGUCACUGAUUCAUUCUUGGAGUUGAAUUUGUUGCUGGGGUAUUGCUGUCUUGCUGUGCUACUGCUGUUAUAUUGCUACUGCUGACCUCUCUUUUCUCUUGUUGUAAUUCAAAUUUCAGGUACACAUUCGAGAACUGAUUUGAUGUAGCUCUUUCUGUUGGAAUCUGGAAUAAAAAACGAAAUUAACUCCUUGAUAUGGAUGUUUGGCCUGCCUUACUUCAGAAUAGUAGUUGUAUAAUUCGUUUAAUUUGUUCACUGUAAUGGAUUUGGACUGUGUGGGACUGUUUCUGCUUUAUAACUUGUGGAUUGUAGUAUUUAACAAAUGAAUUUGUGUUGAUGUGAACCACUAGGUCUAUUUAGUGCUUUUAUGUUUAGCUUAUGGAAAUUAAAAUCACUUUAGAGUGGAUCUGAACUGUUAUUGGCUAUAACUAAUUUGAAAUUCUGAAUCACUUGCCUAGCCUACAUGUUCAGAAUUGGCGAUUAAUUUGAGGUGGAAGUUUACUUUGAGUUGUGAUAUGCAUUUGUACUAGGGACUGACUAUAUUUUGUAUAAAACUGGAUCAAAAUGAGCUAUUAAAGUAGUCUUAAAUCCAAAGCAGGUUGAUAGAUUCUUCUCACAUGUUUAAAUCAGAUAAUUGGAAAAGCAUAUUUUGUAAGCUAUGCAUAAAGGCUGCCAUCAUGAAUGAAUCAUGUUUCAUUUGUAGUAUUUUAAGUUGGUCUUUGUAAAAUGAACAACUGGAAUGAAUUAAACUGGAGAUGCACUCAUAGUGCGAUUUACAUGAAGUAUGUGUCACAUAGAUGAAUUUGAAUGAUUGAAUUAGUAAAAAUGAAGGUUAGAAAUGAUUGUAUCACGUUCAGUAGGAAAAACUUGAUUUUUGGCAAUAGGCUUCGUUGCAAAUUCUAUUUCUGGGGCCUAAGCCAUUGCCAUUGGUUUCCAUGAGUUUCAGCUCCAUCUAGCCUAAUUUUCAGUUAGUUCCUUUCAAUUAGGUCCUUUCCUUUGUUUUUUAGAGACAAAGUAAAUAGAAAAUUAUAGUUACCUUAGGAUCAACCUUUUAAUAAAAAUGAGCCUCGCCUCGCCAAAUGACAUGCACAAAUUGCGGGGCCCUCAUAAAUGUAUAUAUCAACUCCUUAGAUUUCGGGAUGAGCCGUUUAGCGAAUUUCAUGGUCCUCUCAAAAUAAUAACUUGUUAGCAUAUUUAGGCGCGUAUUUAAUACUGUUAUCUUCCCUAAACUCGGGUGUGCAUUUCAUGCGACCCAAAUCCAAAUCUCAAAAUGUCGAACCAGAUGUGUUCAGGAUUGCGGGUUCAUUUCAUGCGGCGCAAUCCAAAGACAUGUCUCAGACGAUUUUCAAUUUUCUUUAAUAAAUUGAAUAAAAAUGGCUAAAAUUUAAAAUCGACACAUAAGUUACAACAUGUAAAAAUCAGAUAAAUAAGCUAAACAUGACAGUUGAGCGACCGUGCUAGAACCACGGAACUCGAGAAUGCCUAACACCUUAUCCCAGGUUAACAGAAUUCCUUAUCCAGAUUUCUGGUUCGUGGACUGUGAAACAAAGUCAUUAUCUUCUCGACAUUUCAUGCGGCGCAAUCCAAAGACAUGUCUCAGACGACGUUCAAUUUUCUUUAAUGAAUUAAAUAAAAGCGGUAAAAGAGUUAUACUUUACAUAUAGUGAACAAUCGUAAAAAUUAGAUAAAUAAGCCGAAUAUGACAGUUGAGGGAACCACGGAACUCGGGAAUGCCUAACACCUUCUCCCGAAUUAACAGAAUUUCUUAUCCGGAUUUCUGGUGCGCAGACUGUUAAACAGAGUCAUUCUUUUCCUCAAUUCGGGAUUUAACCGAUGACUUGGGACACCAUAAAUCUACCAAGUGGCGACUCUGAAUCUUUAAUAAAUAAUCCUGUUUUGAUUGUCCUUUAAUUGGAAAAACGCCUCUGCACCCUGCGGGCGCAGAAAAAGGAGGUGAGACAGGCAGUGUUGGGCCAGCGGAAAGACAAAUUGAUGCACCCAAUCUACUAUGCUAGUAGAAUGCUGAGCUCAGCCCAGUUGAACUACACGGUGACGGAAAAGGAAAUACUAGCUGUGGUGUUCGCGUUUGACAAGUUACGGUCCUAUUUGAUAGGAUCCAAGGUAAUUCUAUAUACUGACCAUGCAACUCUCAUGUACUUAAUAGAAAAGAAAGAAUCUAAGCCACGCCUGAUUCGUUGGGUGUUGCUUCUGCAAGAAUUCGAUCUUUAAAUACAUGACUGUAACGGCACAAAGAAUCAAGUCGCUAAUCAUCUAUCAUGACUUGAGGCAGCUAAAAGUGUAGUAGAGGUUGAGGAGAGGUUGAGGAAAUUCUGGAAACUUUUCCACACGAGCAGCUGCUCGCCACCACUCAUCAGGAAGCUCCAUUGUAUCCAGACUUUGCUAAUUACCUGGCUAGUGUUAUAGUUCCUCACGAGCUUUCAUCGGUCGAAAGGAAAAGAUUUUUCGUGAAAGCCGCCAAUAUUACUGGGAUGAGCCUUAUCUUUUUAGAAUAUGCCUUAAUAACAUGAUCUGGAGAUGCGUCUCCGAGAUUGAACAAUAUUCUAUUUUGCAGGCUUGUCAUGCAUCGGCUUAUGUUGGACACUUUGGAGGGGUCAGGACAACAGCAAAGGUGUUAGAGGCCAGAUUUUUCUGGCCAACAGUGUUUAAAGAUGCUCACUUAAGGGUGAAGUGUUGUAAUGAAUGUCAAUGCACAUGGAACAUUUUCCGGCGCCACAAGAUGCCCAUGAACCCAAUUCAGGAGAAUUUCAUGGGUCCCUUCGUCAGCUCCUAUGGAAAUAAGUACAUUCUUGUUGCUUUAGACUAUGUGUCCAAAUGGGUGGAAGCUGCGGCGUUGUCCACCAAUGAUGCAAAAGUGGUGGUGGGAUUUCUAAAGAAGAACAUAUUCACCGCUUGGGACACCAUGUGUGAUUAUCAGCGACGGAGGCACUCACUUCUGCAAUAGGGCCUUUGAAAAGUUGUUGGCCAAGUACGAUGUGCACCACAAGGUGGCUACUCCUUACCACCCGCAGACUAGUGAACAGGUUGAGGUUUCCAACAGAGAGAUCAAGAGUGUAUUGACAAAAACCGUGAACGCCACAAAAACUGAUUGGGCGAGGAAGCUAGAUGAUGCACUUUGGGAUUACAGAAUAGCUUUCAAGACACCAAUUGGUAUGACACCAUACAAGUUGGUGUUUGGGAAGGCCUAUCACCUACCUGUAGAACUUGAGCAUAAAGCGCGGUCGGCACUGAAACAGCUAAACUUAGACAUAGAAGUUGCGGGUACGUUAAGAGUCACUGAAUUGCAUGAGCUCGAGGAGUUCAAGUACAUUUCUUUUGAGAGCACAAAGCUGUACAAAGAGCGAAUGAAGAGGCUACACGAUCAGAACAUUGUUAAGCGGAAUUCAAACCUGGGGACAUGGUAUUGCUCUACAACUCAAGACUGAGGUUGUUCCCGGGUAAGCAUAAGUCACGAUGGUCUGGACCAUUUCGAGUAGUUGAAGUUUUCCCGUGUGGAGCUGUUGAAGUUUCCACUGAGAAUGACUCUCGUACAUUUCAAUGGUCAGCGAUUGAAAUUGUAUGUGGGUAUGAGCGAGCCUAAGGAAGUGUCUGAGCUGCACUUGAAUGAACCACAGAGGUUGAGCGAGCCAUAAAUGCGCUCAUCAUGCGUCAUGACGUGACGUUAAAUCAGGCGCUGCAUGGGAGGCAAGCCACGAAUCUGUUGUAAGUGUAACUCUUUAUAUAAAAAAGAAAUGCGGAAGCUGAACAGUGCCUAGACCGUAGUCCCACCGCGACCGCAGUCAAUCCACGAUCAGAACAUCUCUUUGACCAAAAUCCCCGGCGGUUCCACUGCGAACGCGGUCAAACCGCGGUGGAAUACCCUCACUUAUCAGAUUCCCAAAACCCACGCCUCCAACCCCCUAUUCUCUCUAGUUCUCUAUUUUUCUCUCCAAAAUCUCCCCUCUCUCUCCACAAACUCCAUUAUCAUCUUCCCCAAACUUCCAUCUGUUGGAAACACGUUCUCAAUGCAAUAUACUAAAACGUGUGUUCUUUUGUAUAGGUUUUGAUAAAUGACAAACGAAGCGAAAAUUGAUAUAUGAC
rnacentral:lncRNA from 1 species